CCUAGAUGUCCUUGUUCUAAGUGGCAGCAGUAUCCUUCGCCUCACGGCCCUGCUACCUUCGUGUGGAACACUUCUGGUGCUCUAAAGAUACCAAAAGGUUUUAAUUACGAUUAAGCGAUGUCAUUUCUACAAUUUCUAGCUGUAAAUAAACAGCCUGUUUUGGAUAAUGGAGAUCCCAAAGCCCAUUAAACUCAAGGUGGACUCUGAGUGCACAGGACUCUCUGUUGGGUCGACACAAUGCAUUACUUACUGGGAAGCUGUACCCGGCAAUCUUCAAGCUGUCCUAACAGAAAAAGACUAUUCAUGAAGUAGAGAAGAGAGUUUCUGAACACAUUUUCAUGGUUAAAAUGCCAAAUCCAGAGGCUACCUGUACAACAAAGUAUUGCACGUGUGUAUCACUUUAAAGACCUGCCUAACCUCCUUCUCCAGAACAGAACCAUUAACUCUUUUUUUAAGCCAAUAAUCAAUGAGUGUCUAAUUUGUUACAUUGACAUUUUUGCUGGUUUCAUCUGAACGAAUUAAUUAAAAGCAGAAUGUUUUCUUUCCAGGCAGAAGAGUGGGGGGUCUCAGCAGCCAGAUAAGUUUUGACCUUUGUUGAGAAAACAUUUUAAUGAGGUAAAGCUGCAGAACCCAUUGAUCGAAGAUCUAGUGUCUGCUCUGACACGUCUGAUGGGCCCUGGAAUACAUUAGCUGGGGCUUCCGGGGGAUCUCAGAGCAGUGGCCUAGCCCAGUGGUCUGCAGGGCAAAUGGGAAGUGGCCAAAAUGGGGAGAAGAGGAGUUAAAAACAGAACAGCCGCCACCCUGGGUCCUCUCUCCUGGCUCUGAGGCAUCCGCCUGUCUUAAUCUGUACAGCUGCAGCUUGUCCAGGAGUCCCUGGGACCUGCACUCUGUUAAUUGAAGUGCAUUUGGAUCAAGGCUUUCUCAGUGUGAAGUGCAGCUUUCCUUUAUGAAGCAUCAUCUCUAAUGCACCUACUGUUGAUGUUAGCAUGAGAUAGGCACAUAGUGAAAAGAAGAGAACAGAAAUACUAUCAAGGUACACCUAGAGGUACAGCACUCGCUUUAAUUGCUUCUGGAACUCUUCACCUGGGCCUUAUCAAUAUGGCUAAUUCUUCAAGAAAUGAGAACAUAGGUGAGCCCCGCUUGAGAAGUGUACUCAUUUAUUUCCCGCAAGAGAGGAUUGAGUUGUUUUCUUUUUGUUAUGAAGAUUGAUAAUAGCAAAUGGAUAAAGCCAGGGCUGCUCCUUAGCCACCCUUUGAUCUUCCUGCUGUCGGGUGGAUGCUAGCUGCCAUACUGGACCGGCAUGGCAUAUGGUGGCAGCACCCAGAAGGUAAACAGGGGUCCAGGCAGUUUCUUCUUAUGCUAAGGCAGCACUUGAAGCUUUAAUCAAUAAGUACAAUUUGUAUUUAUUACCCCAAGAGGCUUUUCUGCCAAACUUAAAUUCCAAAAGGGGGGACAAUGGGAAUGUUUGCAGAUGGGAGUUGAGGAGGCUGAAGCAAACUCAAGAAGUAGGUAUAUCCGCUGUGCUGUAAUGUCACCCUCCCUCUGAAAUGUUAGCAUUUACCCCAACAGAGAAUCUUGGGUCAGUAAAAUAACUGAAACACCUCUGACAGCACCUUCAGACACCCACUUGCCUGGCACAGCCCCACGUGGACUGACCCACAAGCUGCGCUGUGCUACUCAGCCAGGUCCAGGUUGAGCUUGUGCCUAGGAACCUUGGAUGCCUCCACACCCAGGCAUCCCCUCAGGCACCUGUCUGCUGCAAGCUUCCCCACAGGCCACUCACAGACCCUGCUCAGGGGCCUGUCACAGGGCUAAGCAGCCCACUCAAAAGUCCCUCUGUGAAGCCAGGCUACCCUGUGGCCGUGUUGACAUUUUCCCUAAAUUUUUCCAAGGCAGGUAUCUGGAACACAGCAAUUGCAACACUUGUAAGAGCAUGUAGGCUACACGUUCGAUUUGUCACUUUUGUGGCAUGUCCCACCUCUUCUUUGUAUUAUAAUCCUCUACUUCCUCUAUACUUUCCUUACCUCCUAACUAACUGAUGGUAUCUCAGUAAAAAUUAAUAAUGUUAUCCCUGUGAAAAAUUAAACAGCAUCUUGUUAUCCAUAUUCUGCCAUCUUUUUGAGUAAAUGACUUCAAAAAUAAAUAGUAUGAAUAGCAAAGUCAAUUGGUUACUCUGUUCACCAGAGCUGAGAGAAGUUACCCAAGUGAUGCUCUGCAUCCCUGCUCCUCCCCUAAAGGGGUACUGCAGGUGCAAGUUGUUGGACUACGGUGGUUCACAUUUGCACAGACUGGAGGAACUGUAGAGAGGGCUGGUUCUGCAGCCAUUUCUAUUAUAGACUGGACAUGGAGGAGACCUGAUGGCUCCAAAGCAUACUUGUGAUUUCCAACAGACUAAAGCAAUGGCAAACCCUGCAAUGUAUGAAUUCACUGAUCAGAAGUAAGAUAUGGUUUGGAGGGCAUCAGCUGGGGCUGGCAUUUAAGUACAGAGAGCAUAGUAAUAAAUUCACUACCAUGUCAGGGCCAGAUUUAAGAAGUUAUUCUUACAAGAAUUUUGUUUUGGAAAAGUUUUAAAUGGCAUGUGUUGUGCAGGAGGCUUCAAUGUGUGAACACAGAGUCAAAUCAUUAAGUGUCAGUAGCCAUACCAGAAUUUUAUUUUUUGACUUCUCCAUCAAGGGAGGAAGAUGCUAUUCAAGCAGUCCUGGUUUAAGAUUGCAUCAGUGUAUGUGAAUCUGUGUACAUCUGUAUUAUUUGGGGAUUUCUUUGAGUCAAUAUAUUUAGAGUAAAAGCCAAAGUUCAAAAAAAGCCAAGCUCCAGAUUUGCAAGGAGCAUUUUGGAGCUCCUGCACUCUCUGUGUGCCCACACCUGACUGUCAGAUGGCAAAUGCUUGGUGCUCAGUCUAAAUCAGGCUGCGCCACUGUCCCCUGAUUGGGCUCCCAAACUGGAGGCACCUAAGACUGUGGUUCAAAGCAGCAGCUAAAUGCCGCUAUCUAAAAACACACAGGAACAGAGACAGCUCUUCAGCACAAUACUGCUUUGGAGCCACUUCAUACCUAACCUAUUCUCAAAAGGCCAAGCUGCUUAUGAUGAACUGCUUACAACAGACUGUGGAUCUGGGAUAAAGUGCCAGAGUGUGCUUUUCAGGACCUAAAUAAUCUAUUGACAUAUCCCCAGUACUAGAAUUUCAUAAUGUUUCCAAUUUCCAGCCAUUUCAGGAGAUGCCAGAUGCUCUGGUCCCAGCAGAGUGCUGCUCCAGUUAUGUGAGGAUGGUGAGGAGUCUAGCACAUUGCUGCAGGCAGCAACCAGCCACUUCGAGUUGGCUGCUGUCUUGAGGAUAUUCGACUACCCCUUGCAGCCCGAAGAGGGGCUCCGUGUUUCUCCUGGGGUACUUCUUCCUCUUGGGAGACAAGGCAAGGUCCGCAGCCAAAAGAGGUGGUUCUGAUCUCAUCAGAUGACUACUUCAAGGUAAUCAGGGAGAGCAGCAGAAGAAAAGGGUGAGAAACUGCUGGGUCUGGGUUAGAGGAGCAGUUUGUUUAGCUCUGGGUAGUUGCAUUUGCUGCCUCUGCAAUUGGGAGCUCUUUAACAGGAGUCCUGGGAUGAAAAAUUCUGUCUUCUGGGAGCUGCAGGUAGCACACUAGCUUCCCACGGUGAUUCAAGUCUGACCUUGCCUUUCUGGGCAGCAACUAUAACAGGCUGUGUGUCACUGUUCAGAGACGAAGAUAACACUGAGUAAGCCAAACAGUCUCAGAGCUCUUGGUUCAUUCUUCACCAAUGAGUUAAUGCUGAGCAGUGGGCUAAUACAAUUAGCGGACAUGACAAAGGGGUAAGAACUUCAGCUAGAGUGGGAGAGGAUGGGUCAAAAAGUAUUCUGCCAGAUUAGAUUGACAAUGUUGGCUCAGCCUCAUGGGCUGCAGCUUUUGGAGCUGUUAACAAACAUCGUCGAGAGCUUGUGGAGAGCAGGUGGAGGUCCAGAAGGUUGCAGAACACACUGGGCUGCCCAUCCAAAAAGAAGAAAUAAGGAGAAACCCAGAAACUACAGGCUUGUCAGCUUGGUUUUGGUGUGCUAGAAUGUACUAGAGUAAAAACUCUCUCCUCCAUCCUUGCAAAUACUUUUGGGGGAGGAUUAAGGCUAUAUUAAUGCAUAUUUAUGAAGAACAAUUCACAUGAAACCAGCAACAUCAUUCCUGGACAGUGUUUCAUAGUUGGGAAAGAAGAGGUGUUGGUAAACGAUCUUAACCUGUGCGAGGCUUUCUCAAAUAAGCCAGUCUCAUGUCCAAGCCUGGAAAAUGCCUUCUGCUUGAAGCCAUUAUAAGCCUGGAAAUCUGUGAAGCUUAAUGUGUCAUCAGGCAUUACUGACAUGUUAUCAUUAUGACCUACAAAUAAAAUCAGUCCUGUAGUGGAAA